UCGAGAAUCUUCGGCAAUGAGCGCAAGCUUGACCGAGCGACGCCGCGUGCGGGAUGAAGGCCUUCGGGUUGUAAACCGCUGUCGUAGGGGAGGAAGGCUCCGUGAAGAGCGGGGUUUGACCUAUCCUAGGAGGAAGGACGGGCUAAGUUCGUGCCAGCAGCCGCGGUAAUACGAACCGUCCAAACGUUAUUCGGAAUUACUGGGCUUAAAAGGGUAUGCAGGCGGCGCUGUUAGUCGGGUGUGAAAGCCCUCGGCUCAACCGAGGAAUUGCGCCCGAUACUGCAGUGCUUGAGGGAGACAGAGGUAAGCGGAACUGAUGGUGGAGCGGUGAAAUGCGUUGAUAUCAUCAGGAACACCAGUGGCGAAAGCGGCUUACUGGGUCUCUUCUGACGCUGAGAUACGAAAGCUAGGGAGCGAAGGGAUUAGAUACCCCGUAGUCCUAGCUGUAAACGUUGAGCACUUGAUCGGGACCCCCCAUAGGUUCUCGGUCGUAGCGAAAGUGUUAAGUGU
rnacentral:rRNA from 1 species